CAAUCAUAAAAUCCGACCCACCUAAAGCUAGAAAGAGGACGACCACGCCUAUUCCAUUGACGCCCUCCGACAAGAACAAACUGAGGAGGGGAGAGAGCGUAUUCGUCACUCUUUUUAUUUGUCUCUAGUUCUCGAGAUCUAGAAAGAUUGUGAUGAAUAGCCGCCAGGACGUGGAGUGGAGAGCCGCCGAAUCCUGAUUAUCAGUCGUACCUGCAGACCCAUCAGCAGCAACGGGAACAGUGGUUACGACACGCUCAUGAGUCCAGAAGACGACAUCGACGUCACUCUCUUAUCCUCAAGAAUUGGCGGCGACACAACUUACAGCAUCACCAGUUACUGUGUCAGCCAGGAGCUUAGCCUCGCUCAGAGCUUCCAAAUGCCAAGUUUGGAACUUUGAAACCAGGCAUCCGCCAGUUUCUAUCCCCUAUUUAGAAGAAAAUCUAAAGUUUCUUUUAUCUUUGACCAGAUUCUCUCGAAAUUCAUUUGCUUCCUACAUGGCGUCUUCUAGAUCUCUUCGUCCUGUCUCUGUUUUUGAACUAUAUAUAAAUAUAUAUUUAGGUUUACGUUUCUGUUUGCA